GUGUCAGCAGCCGCGGUAAUACGUAGGACCCAAGCGUUGUCCGGAUUUACUGGGUGUAAAGGGAGCGCAGGCGGAUUUUCAAGUCGAUGGUGAAAUCUUGCGGCUCAACCGCAAAACAGCCGUCGAUACUGUUAAUCUUGAGUGUGGAAGAGAGUGGCGGAAUUCAUGGUGUAGCAGUGAAAUGCGUAGAUAUCAUGAAGAACACCGGUUGCGAAGGCGGCCACUUAGUCCAUUACUGACGCUCAUGCUCGAAAGCGUGGGGAUCAAACAGGAUUAGAUACCCUCGUAGUCC
rnacentral:rRNA from 1 species